GAACAGUUGGUCAAAUGGUUAAGGUGUUCGACUCCCAACUCAAAGGUCGCUGGUUCAAAUCCAGCACACAUCC
rnacentral:tRNA from 1 species